rnacentral:rRNA from 1 species
CGAUUUUGCCUGUUAAUUCCGUUAACGAAAGAAACCACAGACUACUAAAUAGUACGUGUUAUGGUAACAUAGUAUGAGACUUCUUAGAGGGACAUUUCGGGUUUACCGAAAGGAAGUUUGUGGCAAUAACAGGUCUGUGAUGCCCUUAGAUGUUCUGGGCCGCACGCGCGCUACACUGACGACUUCAACAAGUUUUUUGGCAUUGCCAAAUUUCCUUGGCCGGAAGGUCUGGGUAAUCUUUUAAAAGGUCGUCGUGAUGGGGCCAGAUUCUUGCAAUUAUUAAUCUCCAACGAGGAACC